UGGGGAAUAUUGGACAAUGGGCGCAAGCCUGAUCCAGCCAUGCCGCGUGAGUGAUGAAGGCCCUAGGGUUGUAAAGCUCUUUCACCGGUGAAGAUAAUGACGGUAACCGGAGAAGAAGCCCCGGCUAACUACGUGCCAGCAGCCGCGGUAAUACGUAGGGGGCUAGCGUUGUCCGGAAUCACUGGGCGUAAAGGGUGCGUAGGUGGUCUUUCAAGUCGGUGGUUAAAGGCUACGGCUCAACCGUAGUUAGCCUCCGAAACUGGAAGACUUGAGUGCAGGAGAGGAAAGUGGAAUUCCCAGUGUAGCGGUGAAAUGCGUAGAUAUUGGGAGGAACACCAGUAGCGAAGGCGGCUUUCUGGACUGCAACUGACACUGAGGCACGAAAGCGUGGGUAGCAAACAGG
rnacentral:rRNA from 1 species